rnacentral:sRNA from 1 species
CUUGGUCAUUUAGAGGAAGUAAAAGUCGUAACAAGGUUUCCGUAGGUGAACCUGCGGAAGGAUCAUUAAUGAAUUUGUCUUUUCCAAGACCCUUUCUAUACCCUUUGUUUACCUUACCACGUUGCUUCCACUGGACAGGUCAAUUCUGACCCUUUGGCUUGUCUUUUUAAGACUUGCUGGGGAGUGCCGGUGGAUGACUCAAACCAAAAACUUAAACCGAAAUUUACUUUGUCUGAAUCAUUUUAUAAAUUAUUAUAAAACUUUCAACAACGGAUCUCUAGGCUCUUGCAUCGAUGAAGAACGCAGUGAAAUGCGAUACGUAAUGUGAAUUGCAGAAUCUCGUGAAUCAUUGAAUCUUUGAACGCACAUUGCGCCUUAUGGUAUUCCAUAAGGCAUGCCUGUCUGAGCGUCAGCUCCCCCCCACUCAAGCUCUUUUGCUUGGAAUCUUAGAAAAGCAGUCUAUCUGCCUUCUAUAAAUUCAUAGGCAGUAUGGUUUCUUCCAGACUCGACGUCAUAAUUCAAAAAAGCGUCUUAUUUGGAGUUAUCGUAUUCGCCUUUAACCCACCCUUUUUUUUUUUACUUGGGUGACCUCAGAUCAGGUAGGGAUACCCGCUGAACUUAAGCAUAUCAAUAAGCGGAGGAAAAGAAACCAACAGGGAUUGCCUUAGUAACGGCGAGUGAAGCGGCAAAAGCUCAGAUUUGAAAUCUGGUGUCAUUUUGGCAUCCGAGUUGUAAUCUGUAGAGGAAUAUUCGAGUGUGGCUUUGGCUUAAGUUCCUUGGAACAGGACGUCAUAGAGGGUGAGAACCCCGUUUACGGCCUUUGUCUUAUGCUCAUGUGAAUCUCCUUCAACGAGUCGAGUUGUUUGGGAAU